UACGUAGGGCGCAAGCGUUAUCCGGAAUUAUUGGGCGUAAAGAGCUCGUAGGCGGUUUGUCGCGUCUGCCGUGAAAGUCCGGGGCUCAACUCCGGAUCUGCGGUGGGUACGGGCAGACUAGAGUGAUGUAGGGGAGACUGGAAUUCCUGGUGUAGCGGUGAAAUGCGCAGAUAUCAGGAGGAACACCGGUGGCGAAGGCGGAUCUCUAGGCCAUUACUGACGCUGAGGAGCGAAAGCGUGGGGAGCGAACAGG
rnacentral:rRNA from 1 species